rnacentral:tRNA from 1 species
GUCGGGAUAGCUCAGCUGGYAGAGCAGAGGACUGAAAAUCCU